CAAGUGGUCCCGGUGACAGGGCUGGAGAUGGCAGCUGGCGGCGGAUGUAGCCUCGGGCUGGAAAAUCAAUAGGUGAUCAGCGGUCCAGGGGCGAGCUGUUCAUCAGGACCAAUGAAACUGUUAUGAGAGUGACCAAGAAGAAACGCCUUCUCUUGUCCUCUUCAAUGUCUGAAUUCUGCAUCCAGCACGUUGUCUUUGAUGUCUCUGCCAUUUACUUCCCUCGCCUUCUUCCUUAAGGAAGAGCAGCAGUGAUAAUCCUAGCAACUGGCCAGGAAGAAAACUCACUCAACAAGCACUCUUCUGCAUCUUACCCCUUGAACCUCAAAGCUGGAAACGUCCCCACUUUCCUCCUCGGUGCUGCUCCACAUUGCUCCUUCUGCCAGGCAGGUGCCUAAAUUGGAGGGUCUUGAGUCUGUGGAAACGCUGGCUGAAGUGUGCCUGGCUCAAGUGCAAGCGGGUGCGUAGCAGCAGCCUGGCGUGUCAUCGUGAGACACAGGAGACAACCUGAGUAUCCAUCAAUGGGGGACCAAGGGCAUAAAUGAUGGCGGAACCGCACAAUGCCACGCUGUGCAGUGGGAUGAAGAAUGCACCCUGCUCCCUGUAUGUGCUGACAUGGAAGAUGCCCACAAUGUAUUGUGCAGGAAGCAGAAUAAUGUGUGUGGUAGCAUCUUGUUUGUGUAAAAAGGCCUAUAUAUAUGGAAUGGGUAUGAAUUUGCUGGACAUCUGAGGUAAAGGAAAUGCCACCUCUCUCCUGGCUUCCUCCCUUUUUUCUCUCUUUACUAGAUAAAGAUUUAUAUUUGCUUUCCUUACUUCUUUUUCCUCUUUUCACAACUGUGUUUUUCUAAUCUACGUGUCUGCUGUGCCUGAUAGUCAUUUUCAUCUUUUUUUUUUUUUUUUGGAGGGGGCCUGAGUCUCGCUGUGUUGCCCAGGCUGGAGUGCAAUGGCAUGGUC